rnacentral:rRNA from 1 species
UACGGAGGAUCCGAGCGUUAUCCGGAUUUAUUGGGUUUAAAGGGUGCGCAGGCGGGAGAUUAAGUCGGCGGUGAAAUUUUGCAGCUCAACUGUAAAAGUGCCUUCGAAACUGGUUUCCUUGAGUGUAGAUGAAGUAGGCGGAAUUUGUGGUGUAGCGGUGAAAUGCAUAGAUAUCACGAGGAACUCCGAUUGCGCAGGCAGCUUACUAAACUACUACUGACGCUCAAGCACGAAGGCGUGGGGAUCAAACAGGAUUAGAUACCCCGGUAGU